CUGGCUGACAAUGAAUAUAGUUAAAGGGACACUAUAGUCACAAGAACAACUACAGCUUAUUGAAUUUGUUCUGGUUAGUAGAAUCAUUACCUUCAGGCUUUUUGCUGUAAACACUGUCUUUUCAGAGAAAAUGCAGUCUUUACAUUACAGCCUAGUGAUAACUUCACUGGCCACUCCUUACAUGGCUGUUAGAGAUCCUUCCUGGGUCAUGGCUGCCUAAAA